rnacentral:lncRNA from 1 species
CUUUCUGGGCCUCAGUUUCUUCAUCUGUAGAAUGGGCUGCUGUGAAGAGAAAGGGCAUGGAACAUGCCUGGCACACAGCAGGUGCCCAGUUAGGACAACUUCCCUUCUCCCUGCCCUGUUGCUCUUGCUUCACUCAGGGGCCUUGUACCCAAGCUGGGGCUGAAAGGCUGGGGGUGGGAGAACGUGCUGGGGUGAAGGUCAGCCAACGGUCAGGUGGCAUCAACCAGGGCAGGCUUCCCAUGGAGACGAUAUUCAAGUUUGGUUUGAGGAGAUGCUUCCUUUCAGCCCCUAACACAGACACAUUGAACUCUGCAGCCAGAUGAGGUGACACCGAGAGGGCAAGGGGCAUGAGCCCUUGGCUCUUUGCUUAGCACCCUGCCUGGCAAACCUUCCAUUCACGGCUCCUGGCUGGAGGUCAGCCCCCAGUAGGACUUACUGGCCUCUUGCCAGUCCUAUCAAUGCUGAGGUCUCCUUGGGACAUGUGGUUCUGGAUGCCCCCUCCCUUUCCUGCUCAACACAUUUACUGGGUACUUACUAUGUGCCAGGCCCUGUUCUAGGCACUGGGGAGACAGCACUGAGCAAAACGGACAGAGGUCCCUGACCUCAUGGAGCUGGCAUUCUAGUGGAGCGUGAAAACGUUAAGCAAAAUAAGUGUAUUAGAAGGUGGUAAGUAAGCACUCUGGAGAACAAUAAAGGGUGAAGGAUGGGAGUGUGGGGUAAGGAGGUGAUGCAAUUUUAAACAGGAAGGUCAGAGAAGGCCGCAUUGAGACAGUAAUCUUUGAGUAAGGAACUGAAAGGUGGAGCCAUGUGCACAACUGAGGGAAAACAUUCCACGAGAGAGUCUAGCACAUGCAAAGGCCCUGGGGUGGUAGCAGAGCUGGUUGUUUGAGGAACAGCAAAGGGGCCGGCAUGGAAUGAGUGAGAGGGAGAGUAGUGAGAGAUGAGGUCAGAGAGGUGGGAGGGACCAGAUCCUGUAGGGGCUGGUAGGCCAUUGUCAGGACUUUGGUCACAGAGCAAACAUGGAUGCAGAGAAGAAUAGGGCGCCCUUCCUUUUCCCUCAUGGGCUAUGGGACAGUAAGGAAAUGCCACCUGUUUUAAUAAAGAUGGGCCCCAGAACUUCCAAGAGUGGCACUGGAAAUACCCUCCUGACUGAGAAGGGCAGCUUGGCCCAUGAAGAUCUGCCCCCUGGGGGUCUCUCACCAGAUUCUGGUGCCACCGCACACUGGUCCUGGGGAGAGAGGCGGGGCUGUUUGAGAGAGUGUCAAAGCACCCUGAGGACAGGGGUGUCUUGUCGAUCCUGCCUCCUCAGUGCCUUGACUUCCAGAGGUGCUCAACACAGCCCGGUUGAGUGAAGGAAGAAAGGACGGAAAGAAGGAGUGGUGACCUGCAGACCAGAGGAAUGGGCUCUGUGGCACAAUGAGGAUUUACAUCUGCCUGACGGUGCCUGGAACAAUGGGCAAAACCAACAGGAGAGAUCAACAGCGGGCAGAAAUUACAAAGUCCAGCUCUAGGAUCAAUACAAAAUCCAAGUCAAAGGGCACAUGGGCAUUGAUCUCACAGAGAAGCUGGUGCAUAUAUGGAAUGGCUUACGUGCAAAGGUAGUCCCAGCGGCACAGUCUUGAAUGCUGCAAAGGGUUGGAAGCAACCUAAAUAUCCACCAGUAGGGGAUCAAUUAAAUACCUUGGGUAGAUCCACACAAUGGAAGGCCAUGGGGCUGAUACAAAGAAUGAGGCAAGGAGUUAUAUACUGAUAAGGAAAGUUCUCCAAGGUGCCCGGUUAAAUUAUAAAGCAAGGUGCAUGACAGUGUACAUUGACAGUGUAGACUAUGCUUUUCUUUGUGCAAUCGAGAAUACGUGCAUACAUUUGUAUACAGACCAUCUCCAGAGGAUACACAAGAAACAAGGUAGGAGGCUGGGGUCCUGCUUUACACUGCAUAGCUAUCGUGACUUCAUUUUGUGCCAUAUACAAGUAUGUGUGUGUGUGUGUGUUUAUGUGUGUGUAAGGGGAAAUGAAUGGAGCAGGCCUCAUAGUAAUUCUAGUGAAAAAGACCUGGAAGUUUGGCUAACCAUAAACUCACUGAAAAUUGCUUUAAGAAAAAAACCUAACUGUAAUAUGAGGUUAUAAUAAUAGGAGCAUAGGACCCGGGCUGAAGGAGGUGUAUGUCCUGCUAUACUCUGAGCUGGUCAGGCUGUACCCAGAGUGUGGGACCUCUUUGAGACAGCCAUGUUUGGGGAGAAACAUUGGUAGCUAGAUCAG